rnacentral:rRNA from 1 species
CCUACGGGAGGCAGCAGUGGGGAAUAUUGCGCAAUGGGCGAAAGCCUGACGCAGCGACGCCGCGUGAGGGAUGAAGGUCUUCGGAUCGUAAACCUCUGUCAGCAGGGAAGAACGGUCACUGUGCUAAUCAGCAGUGCAUUGACGGUACCUGCAAAGGAAGCACCGGCUAACUCCGUGCCAGCAGCCGCGGUAAUACGGAGGGUGCGAGCGUUAAUCGGAAUUACUGGGCGUAAAGCGAUCGUAGGCGGUAUGUCAAGUCAAGGGUGAAAUCCCCGCGCUCAACGUGGGAAUUGCCGUUGAAACUGGGAAACUGGAGUGUGUGAGAGGAUAGUGGAAUUCCAGGUGUAGGAGUGAAAUCCGUAGAUAUCUGGAGGAACAUCAGUGGCGAAGGCGACUAUCUGGGACAUAACUGACGCUGAGGAGCGAAAGCGUGGGUAGCAAACAGGAUUAGAUACCCCAGUAGUC